UCCUCCUUACAAAUUUAGCUGCUGCUCUGCCCGGUGCGUUCCAUACAGACGCUAAAGGGGGAUUUUUGCGUUGUAUCUGACGCUGACAGCCACU